AGCGGAGCCAGCCAGGAUUGCCCUUCGCAGGAGAUACUCAACUUUCAGCCUCUGGGCCCUGUGGAUGUUAGAAGAAUGACAGGAGACAGACACUGUCUGAGGAGAAACCCAACUGCUUUUCCAUAUUGCAGCAACUACUCAACUGCCUCCAGAACUGUCUUUCACCAUCCAGCUUCCAAUUUAUUGUCUGGCCUUGUCGACUUCAGUGUGAUUUGAGCAUGCAGUCGAACUUAGAAACAUCAUUUUAUAUAUUUUUUUUCCCAGACUAAAGGUGGAGGAUCAAGAAGGUAGAAAAAAAUUCCUUCCUUCAGUGUGGGGAUCAAAGUUCUGCCUGGUGGAAGGAGUUAAAAUUGUCCAGAAAAAUGCUGAGGUCCAUGUCGCUCCUGUGUUGAGGAAUCCAAAUCUGGAUGCAGUACUCCAGGUGAGGUUUCAGCAGCGCAGAGUAGAGGGGCAGGAUUACCUCCCUCACCCUGCUGGCCACUCUUCUUCUGAUGCAGCCCAGAAUAUGGUUGGCUUUCUGAGCUGUGAGGGUACAUUGCUGGCUCACAUCCAACUUGCCAUUCACCAAUACUCUCAAGUGUUUUCAGCAGGGCUAUGCUCUAUCCUUACGUUCCACAGCUUGUACUGAUAGUAGGGGUUUCUAUGACCCAGGUGAAAGACUUUGCACUUCACUUUGUUGGAACUCAUGAGGUUCUCC
ensembl:lncRNA